rnacentral:rRNA from 1 species
AUGAACGCUGGCGGCGUGCCUAAUACAUGCCAGUCGAGCGAACAGACGAGGAGCUUGCUCCUCUGACGUUAGCGGCGGACGGGUGAGUAACACGUGGAUAACCUACCUAUAAGACUGGGAUCACUUCGGGAAACCGGAGCUAAUACCGGAUAAUAUAUUGAACCGCAUGGUUCAAUAGUGAAAGACGGUUUUGCUGUCACUUAUAGAUGGAUCCGCGCCGCAUUAGCUAGUUGGUAAGGUAACGGCUUACCAAGGCAACGAUGCGUAGCCGACCUGAGAGGGUGAUCGGCCACACUGGAACUGAGACACGGUCCAGACUCCUACGGGAGGCAGCAGUAGGGAAUCUUCCGCAAUGGGCGAAAGCCUGACGGAGCAACGCCGCGUGAGUGAUGAAGGUCUUCGGAUCGUAAAACUCUGUUAUUAGGGAAGAACAAAUGUGUAAGUAACUAUGCACGUCUUGACGGUACCUAAUCAGAAAGCCACGGCUAACUACGUG